AAUUUAAGUCCUGACCUUCAUGCAAUAGAAGACCUUUGGAAUAAAUGAGUGACUCAUCCAACAUCAGUGUCUGACCUCACAAAUGAGCCCAUUCGCCUUCCUGAACCUUAUGGAACACAUUUCCGGAAGAGUUGAUGCUUAAAGGUCAACAAAAUAUUCAACCAAAUGUUUUAAGGGUGGGAUGUGAGAAUGAGUAUUUUCCAGCCCACGCUAUAUGCUGAAUUCAUUGGAUUCGCCACCAAGGAUUCCUGCAGCAGUUAGAUUUAACUCUGUACUUUGACUGGACCAAUCUGAAACCGUCACUUUGGUUCUUCUAUUCACAGGAGAACUUUCGUGUGGACUUUGAAACUUUCUUCUGCUGCACAACCCAGCUGAUGGCUGGAUGUUUUUCUUCAGGAUUUUCUCCCAGAGAGGAGAAUUCAUGGUUCCGUCAAUUACAUCCAGACUACCAAACUACCACUCCACCAUCGCCGUAUAUGACCGCAGGGAUGAUGCUCUUUCUCAGACUCAGAGCCAGUGGAUUUCCACAAAUCCAGCCGGAUGUUUAUAUCUGUGCGUUGGCGGCUGGUAGCUGUCAGUUUUCGAUGUUGUCACGUGUCCAGACCGCAGGUGAUGUCACCAGCUCAGGAGAGAACCGGAGCCGCCGGAACCGACCCUUCACCGGAACAUCGAGAGCGAGGGCCUGCACGUUCACAGGAACGUUCACGAAGAGGCUUGAAACAGAGCAAACAUGUCACAACCAGA